rnacentral:rRNA from 1 species
CACGUAGGGCGCAAGCGUUGUCCGGAAUUAUUGGGCGUAAAGAGCUCGUAGGCGGUCUGUUGCGUCUGCUGUGAAAACUCGGGGCUUAACCCCGAGCCUGCAGUGGAUACGGGCAGACUAGAGGUAGGUAGGGGAGAAUGGAAUUCCUGGUGUAGCGGUGAAAUGCGCAGAUAUCAGGAGGAACACCGGUGGCGAAGGCGGGUCUCUGGGCCGAUAUUGACGCUGAGGAGCGAAAGCGUGGGGAGCGAACAGG